CAGCUCGUCUUCACGAGCGCCACCGACAGUGGUUCGCAGCAGUGCGAUUCGCCCUCAGCUCCACAGUCGGCAUGCACAGGAUCGGCCGCAACGAGGUCGAUCGCAGCAAAGUGCUCAGUCAGUGCAUAGACGCAUU
rnacentral:sRNA from 1 species